rnacentral:rRNA from 1 species
CCUACGGGUGGCAGCAGUGAGGAAUAUUGGUCAAUGGGCGCGAGCCUGAACCAGCCAAGUCGCGUGAGGGAUGACGGCCCUACGGGUUGUAAACCUCUUUUGCCGGGGAGCAACGGGCGCCACGUGUGGCGCCACUGAGAGUACCCGGAGAAAAAGCAUCGGCUAACUCCGUGCCAGCAGCCGCGGUAAUACGGAGGGUGCGAGCGUUAAUCGGAAUUACUGGGCGUAAAGCGCACGUAGGCUGUAUGUCAAGUCAAGGGUGAAAUCCCACGGCUCAACCGUGGAACUGCCUUUGAAACUGGCAAACUGGAGUAUGUGAGAGGGCGGCGGAAUUCCUGGUGUAGGAGUGAAAUCCGUAGAUAUCAGGAGGAACAUCAGUGGCGAAGGCGGCCGCCUGGCACAAAACUGACGCUGAGGUGCGAAAGCGUGGGUAGCAAACAGGAUUAGAUACCCCAGUAGUC